rnacentral:tRNA from 1 species
AAGGCUUUAAGUUAAUAAAACUAAUAGUCUUCAAAAUUAUAAAUAAAGAAAAUUUCUUUAAGCCUUA